CCCUCCCUCCCUGUCAGGACAAAGCACCUGCCUCCUAUGGAAGCUGAGCAUCCCUGAACAGCCACCAAAGGUCCAGUCCAGGAGCUGGCACAUGCCCAUGACUGAGCUUUGGUUCAACAACAGAGACAUAAGUGGCAGCAGAAGUGUCUGGUGAAGCUCCUGACAGAUUCCCAAGGGCUAGGAGGCACAAAAAUGAAAUGGGAGACUGCUCUCUGGAUGGUUGCCUGCUCACUGCUUGCUUCUCUGCCCAGAGGUCAGCUGGACACCACGUGCCAUGCAUUUGUUGGAGAAACGGUGGUCCUGCCCUGCACCACCAGCCCUCCUGGAGAGCUGGCCCUCUCCAAGUCCAUGCUCUACUGGCAGAUUGGCACCAAGCAGCUGGUGCACUUCUUUCAGAAUGGGCACGAUUCACUGGACGGCCAGGACAAAAAGUUCCAUGACAGAACCAGUCUUUUUCUGGACCAGAUGAAGCAUGGCAACUUUUCCUUAAAGAUCUCCAAUGUCCAGUUAGGGGAUGAUGCUGAAUAUUCCUGCAUCUACAGACAGACUGAGAGCCAUCAAACAAAGAAAUCUACAAUUAAACUCAAUGUAUCAGCUGCACCUAGGAUUGAGGAGCCACCUUCCCCUUCUGAGCAGAAUCAGAUUCCCUCCGGAAGCUCCGUGGAUGUGCCAAGCCUGGCUGUGCUUCCCCUCUCUUUCCUCCUCUUGGUCCCCCUGGGGCUUUGGCACUUGUAACAGGGGAAUCCAGCCUUGUCUUUGGGAAUUUCUCCUCCCCAGAGGGCCUUUCUGGGCAGGACAGGUCUGUGGGGUCAGUGUGACACCUGCUCCAAGAGCUGAGAACAGACCAAGCAUUAUUAGGUGUUUUCAUCCCACAUUCUGGUGUUCCACAAAACCAAGGGCAGCAAAACUCUGAGGUGGCAAAUCUGCUUUUGCAUUUGUUUCUUGGAGUCCAGUUUUAGUGCUGCCAGGAUAUACAAUUUAUUUUGGAUUGUGUGGGUUUGCUUUAAUGACAGGAGGAAAGGCUCACAAAACUUCAGGAUUGGGUUAUAGCUGAUCCCAGUCAGAUCUUUCGCCUUUCAUCUGCUGUCCUUCAAGACAACUGAAAGGAGGAGUGGGAGUAACUACUCUCUGUGUCAGACAAAAUCUGCAAGUAGGAAAACACUCCCAUUGUCUGAAAUGUGAGGAUGGCAAGCUUGUGAAACUUGAUUAUGUGGAACUUCAGCUUCUGUUUUCACUCCUAAACGUCAUGGGCUAUGAGUAAGAACCCUUUUUCUCCACAAGAAAUGUAGUAUUUCUUCAGCAGAAGGGUGAAGCUGACCGAGAAAGAAUGUAGAAGUUCAUAACAUAUCCAUAUAGAGGAAGGAUGUAUUACUAUAAAAUCCAGCUAAACAAGCCAAAAAAUUCAGAAGGCUGAAUUCAGCAUUAUCUUUUUCUGUCAUGAAACAUGGCACAGCUGGAUUCUUAAGCUGGAACUGUGCAAUGAGAAAUUGUUACUGUGACAAUGUUACUUGUUUAAAAACAGUACCUUUGGAGGGGAAAAAAACAUUUAAAAACUCAUCAGAAUACUUGUAACUGAUAUCUAUGCAAACUAAAUGGGUUUAUUUCUAGAAAUAAUCAAUUCAGGCAGCAGAGGUGUCCUGUGCAAAACUUGGGUCCAAAGGAUCCUGCACACAAACAAUGCUGAGGCAGUGCAGAAGUUUUUCAGGCCAGAACUGCAACUCCCCUGUUUCACAACCAAAAAGCAUCCAGAGAACAGAGCUGAGACUGAACCAGCAGAGACUGAACACGCUGAGCCUCGGGCAGGGGGAAUGAUUCACGAGGAUGCACAAAGUCACUCUGAUUUGGAGCAGUUGCACCUUUUUAUUUUUCCAUUGGAGAGACAAGACUUUUGCAAGGAAGGGACAGAAUAAAUCAGAGCUGAAAAUGGACA
rnacentral:lncRNA from 1 species